CGCGUAGGCGGCUUAGUCAGUCAGGCGUGAAAUUCCUGGGCUUAACCUGGGGGCUGCGUUUGAGACGGCUAGGCUAGAGGGUAGGAGAGGGUCGUGGAAUUCCCAGUGUAGAGGUGAAAUUCGUAGAUAUUGGGAAGAACACCGGUGGCGAAGGCGGCGACCUGGCCUAUUACUGACGCUGAGGCGCGACAGCGUGGGGAGCAAACA
rnacentral:rRNA from 1 species